rnacentral:rRNA from 1 species
UGGGGAAUAUUGGGCAAUGGAGACAACUCUGACCCAGCAACGCCGCGUGAGGGAAGAAGGUUUUCGGAUUGUAAACCUCUGUCCUUGGGGACGAAGAAAGUGACGGUACCCAAGGAGGAAGCCCCGGCUAACUACGUGCCAGCAGCCGCGGUAAUACGUAGGGGGCAAGCGUUGUCCGGAAUUACUGGGCGUAAAGGGUGCGUAGGCGGUUAUUUAAGUCAGAUGUGAAAUCCCCGGGCUUAACUCGGGUGGUGCAUUUGAAACUGGGUAACUAGAGUGCAGGAGAGGGAAGCGGAAUUCCUAGUGUAGCGGUGAAAUGCGUAGAUAUUAGGAGGAACACCAGUGGCGAAGGCGGCUUUCUGGACUGUAACUGACGCUGAGGCACGAAAGCGUGGGGAGCAAACA